GUCAAUCUCCCAAUGGAGUUCAGCUCCACUGGUUCCUAGGAUUGUGCAGCCGCGACAGGCACGAGUCUAUAAUGCACUUCCCCUUGUCCACGAAGCUAGGAAAGGAGGAGAAAAAGAUACUCCACUUACACAACAGGACAAGUACAAAGAGAUUAUGUCAAACUUUCCCAGAAGGGACGAUUGGGUCCUCCAGCCUCUUUACCAGUACCAAGGCUUUUGGUACUUCCAGG
rnacentral:misc_RNA from 1 species